GUGUUCUGAGCUGCAUUAACUUCUGGGACAAAUCAUGGAAAUACCUUCCUUGGUCACAUUUGGGUCACAUGGUAGAAAAUAUUCAACAGCAGAGAGUCAAAACUGCAGUGAGAACUCAGGUUGCUUCUCUAGCCUUCCCGAUCUGAACUACAAAAUCCUGUCAAGAAAGGAAAGAAUUUAAAUGCUUGCUCUCUGGAGCGUUAAAUCUUUGUCCUUGGUUUAUUGGCCUUCUACUAGAGGCAGAAGAUAGUUGGAAUGGAACAAUCAAAUGAUAUGGAGAAAGAUGGAUAAAAGUUUUCCAUGGGCCAGAUCCUGGAGUUCGGUGAAGGAAGUCGUUGCAGAUGCCAGAGAAAGAUGCCAAGAAACCUAUAAAGUGCCUUUAUGAACCUGGGAGUGUCACACUGUACGUGCUGCCUGCAUGCUCAUGUGAGGAGGAGGAUGCCCUGGCCCUUUUAGCUCUCUGUGGUAAUUAUGGAAAUGGCUGUAGCUGCUGCAUGCUGAAUUGAGGAAAUCCUGCUUGGGCCAAUGAUAGUAGUUGGGCAGCUUUGCACUACGAACAUGUUUUCUGCAUCACAUGUUUUGUUCCAGUGUAUAAAGUGAAAAUAGGAAGGAAAGAACCUUCCAGAGCAUGAGGAGCAGCGAUUCUCCAUCAAGAGUCUCAUGUGUUCAGCAGCUUUGAGCUUCUUUUACGUAAUGACGAGGGAUUGGGGUCUGGAAAUACCUUCUACUAUUGGAUGGGGCCUCAGUGCAAAAAAGUUUGAGAACUGCUGAUCUAGAGGCAUUUGCUGGAUUUCCACAUAAAAUGAUUUUUACAAGUGUUGCAUCAAGUUCUGGCUUUUCAGCAACCUCCUUUCCCAAAUUGUUCCAUUUUUCAACUGGAAGUACAGAACCUUUUCUUAAAAAUUCUUUUUUUCCCACCCGAUGUCUGCAGUAAUUUUUUUCCUCUUCUCUAGUUUUAGGCUGUCCCUGCUUGUUGUUACUUUUUACUGCAUUUAUAGAUUAUCUCCUUGAAUUCUCUUCUAUCUCUUUGAAGCAUGCUGAAUUUUUAACAAGUAUGCAAAUUAGCAUUAGCCUUCCCCAUCUACUUGCUGGCCUGCUGCAGUUCCCCUCAUGCCCUUUUGACAUUUUAAGCUUUGCCUCCAGACAGUGUUGGCUAGAAAAGAGAAUUUCACUCCCAUGUAAUUUUCUUGGGGAGGAAAAUAUUCUCCCAAACUGGUGGUGGUGGUAAUGGGGGAUAUGGAGGUUGGAAGAAGGAGUUAUUUUGGUACCAAUUUGGACCAAAUGUUUAUGAAAAUAAUAUAUUUAAUGUAGCUUAAGUAUUUGUGAGGAGAAAUUCAGUGAACAAUUCCAUUGAAGGAAAAACAACUUUUUGUUCUAAGCCAUUCCUUAGGCAGCAGGCUCCCUAGGCUAUCAGGGUAUUCAAGGUUAUGGGCACUGCAGGAACUUCUUGUUUUGCAGCUUUGUAGGCAGCUGACAGAAUUCAAAUUUUCCUGAAAUUUUAAAUCAAUCAGCUUUAUUUCCAGCAAAUACAUAGUAACAUUUUUUUCCUGUUUUAAAUGGUGGUGGCUUUAGGGCUCAGUAUUUUAAGCUGGCUGUUGAAUAGCAUGAGAAAUACUGUCACAGAAAGAGUUCUGUCUGAAGACCUCUCCAGUUUUUGUGGUAAAAAGAUGGCCUUUAAAUUUUCUCUCUAAUGUGUGUGGAUUUUUUUUUCUUUUUUCCCUCCUGCAGUAGGCAUACCUGGAGCAUGGCUUAACUUGACUCUGUUUUACAGCAGCUUUGUCUUACAACAGUGAGGAGACUACCAUGAAAAUUAGGAAGCCUUAAUAGGUAUUUCCUGUAAACAGACUUGCAAAAUUUAUCAUAUACUAACCAUCAUAAAUAGCGAUACUACAUUUACAAAAGGAGGGCAUUGCAAAAGAUGUUCUUUUCCACCUCAUUGCGAAGUCAUCAUCUUACAGUCUGAAAGAGAAGUGUUUAGGAGUUUUUGCCCCUAGACUCCCGACGUUUAUUUCUCAUUACACAUCCAUUUUCUCUGACUGUUGGAACUUUCUAAAAUUUUGGUUCUGGUCAAACUUGAGGGUGAUCUACAAAUAGGCUAAGCACACUUAUUUUCCAUUAGCGUAAGAGAAAGAAUUGAUGCCAAACAGUUGCAAAUAACAGGCUGAUGAAGUCUGAAAUCAGGCAUGCAGCAUUUUGAUGGGAGGUCCAGGUCCUGCGAAGUUUCUGAGAGAUUCUGAGCGAUCCUGUGUGCAACCAGAGAAGAUCCUUAUCUGUCCAUUGGUGUUUAGGAAGUGUCAGAAGUUUCCAGGCUACUUCAUGGCCAACAAAACAGAAGGCGGCUUUGCAGUGGCUAGCCCAAGCACUGCUAGCAGGAUAACAACACAGUGCUCCAUUUGCAGAACACCUCGAGUUUGUUGCAGAUACGUGGCAAAUACCAUUGGGAGAUAACUGAGGGUUGUACCACACAAUCUGCGCGUAUGCUAACCCUCCAAGGGAUGUAUCCUUGUGUGUCUGAAAGUUGCAAGAGAGGGCACAAUUAUGAUGAAUUCCCCUUACAAAUUGGAAGCAUUUUGCACUUCCGUGUAUUUUAUAGUAGUCUAGUGAAUUCAUGAAACAGAAACUGCAUGCUUAAAGGAAACUUUCCCAUCUCUUUACCUCAGCAAUUUGCCUGUGUUGUCUUAUGUUUCUUUUGUCUGCACAUACAGUUAUGCCCUUUUAUCCCUUUUUUUUCUUGACUUUCUUCAGUGUUUUCAUCCCUUUGCCUCACUUUUCCCAGCUUUAUUUAAGAGGGUUGGGAACCAAAAGGUAUGUCUUAGACCAGAUGUUAAAUCUUAAGCUUUAGAGAGCUGCCAGGUUUGGGUGCUCAUGAGUAAGAUGAUUAUAAAUUUUGCAAGCACUAGCAUCAUUGCCAGUAUGAGUGCCUUGACCCUCUGUUGCAGGAAUUAUGCUGUAGUUUUAUUCCACCAUUAGUUGAAAUAACGAGGGUCAUUGUACUGUGUUGUUAGAUGACAACUACUUUCUGUUCAUCUAUACGUAAGGACAAAUACUUCUGGAAAUAUUUAGUUAUUUAACCAGAUAAGAUUUCUUACUCACUGAAAGCAGAACUUUUUUUCUCUUCCUCGAAGUUGUCUUCCAAGUGAAUUUAAAAAUGCUUGUAGAAAAUACUGGCUUGUAUAGUCAGUAUUGUGUGUAGCUAUAGACUGAUAAAGACCACAAGUCUAAAGACAGAUUCAGUGUCAUUCAUUUCUAUUAAACGUCUGGGUAAGUUGGCUGUUUCAAAAUGUUAUUUCCAUGCUGUGAAUGGAAUUGUUUACAAGCUUGCUUUGUUUCAAAUGCCAGAGACUUGACUUUAUUGACAUCAUUUAGUGAUGUGUUUGCAGGCUACCAUAAAACAUUAAAGCAAAACCAGUGGAAAUACAUUUUAUAUCCAAAUGCAAAGUGCCUUUAGGAAAUGCUGAACCUGGAAGUGUUUUUCUACAAUACAAUAUUUUUUCCUGCUAAUUAUUAACAAAAUCCUCAUUGUUUUUCUUACAGAAUAAAUUCAUUUGUCCCUCAUCAGUUAACGUAAUUUUAUGACAAACCUACUGGAAAUUUGAAGCAAAUACAAAGUUCAUUUGCGGAUUUAUAAAUUCCAAAUGGCAAGUGGACCAGAAAGGCUUUCUUUUCUCCAGAGGUGAUGUGUAAUGCGCCUUCUGAGACAAGCUCAUGAGACUUUUGAUGAGCACAAAGUGUGCAUCAUUAAAGAGUGCAUCACCAAAGACUCCAUUUCAGUAUUUGUAGAACUCACUUUUGUGAGUACUAAGCACCCCUAACUUCAGGUGAAGUUGCUGGUUGGGAUGAGAAACCGCUUUAUAAACUGUAGGCUAAGUAGGGUGGGGUAUGUGGUGACACUGUCCUCAGUAUUCAGCAGGGCAAUUGGAGAACACAGCAUUGCUAGCAGGCAGGUUUCUGCCCCAUCCCAGCAUGCUGGGGAGAGCUGCAGGGAGCGCUACAAACCUGGAAGAGACUGUGACUGGCAAAUUCAUUUUUGUGGGUGAACUGUCAAUUUCUGCCUUGCAGGAGGUGAGGUUGCUUUUUUUCCCCCACAAGUAGGCACAUGCUGGGUUUUAUGGACUAACCCCCUCAUCAGCUUAAACAUGGCAUGCACUUCUCUUUGCUAAUGAAACUGAUACUUGGGGAAGGAAUAAAGGAGAUUUUUGAAGAAAUGCAUGGAAGUGUUCCUUCCUUUCUCUAGACACUACUGCAGGGAUAUAGGGUGUCAGCAGUGGGUGGGUUAGUGUGAAAGAAACCAUGUCUAGAAAAAGUGUUUGCUGUUAGAAUGCAUCAGACUUGUUUAAGACUACUUUGCUUUCAUUUCCAGAGCUGUGGAAUGAGUGCAGAAGCAGGUAUCAUAAGUGCUGUUGUGCUGCACUACCACUGAGGAUGCGUUCCUGAAAAGCACAGUGGUUAGCAGUUUGAUGGAUGCACAUUGAUGGUUAGCAGUUUGAUGGAAGCAAUUUCCCCCUAAGAAUUAAUGUAAGAGAAGUAACAUCCAUGCAAGGACUUAAGAGAUGCACACAGUGUAAAUACACAGAGACAGUACAUACAACAUGAAGGAAGGACUCGCAGGUGCAGAAUUGUCUGUGUCAUCAGCUGGAGGAAAUGCUGGCUUUUCUGGAUGGAUAUUUGCUCCAAAAGAUAUUAGCCACUUCAACAGCAAAGCUGAGCACCCGGGAGCAGCCAGUUAGUGUGUGUGUGUAUUCUUGCUGCUGCUUUUUGAAUGAUUAAGUUUUUGUGGUCUGUCAUCUUCGUCAGAUGAAUGAAGGUCAAUCAAGGGUAGAUGGAGAAACAGGGUAAAGGUGAUGGUUAGUGGAGUGUGAUGUUAAAGGAUUGGUGACAGUGCACUUAAACAAUGGGUAAAGUAGCAACAGGUAGUAGGGUGUUGCUGUUUAUCAUUAGUACAGUAUAUGUGAUUUGUCAAGUGCCAAUGUCAGCUUUUAAUGACCAACAGAGAAACAAAAUCAGUGGAAACUUUCGCAUUACAAAACACAAAAGAUCAUAUUUUUUAAAGGGCGGUACCCACUAAUGCUGGGGAUGUCUGCACUGCACAGAGCCAAACAGCUGUGUUGAAGCCCAUUGAAGAUAGAUGUCUUCCACAUCCAGACUAUUGCUUUGUUAGGGGAAAUCAAGUAUAUUUUCACUUCACUGUGUUCCUCUGUCCCAGGGCAUUGUAUUCAAGUGUAGAGUAGGUGCAUGUUAAGGACGGAUCGUCCAUGUCCAGGUGCUUGGAGGAAGUUCUGAAGGCCUAGUACAUUGCUUUUUUUUUCUGUGGAGUCCUCUCCCCUUCUACAGUCUGCUUAAGCAUUCUUCGCAUAGCUCCGUUAAUUUUCUUGAUAUCUCUGUUCAUUUUCUUUCCUUUGUCAAGUAGGUUCUACAUUCAAAGUACUCACCUGUGCAGCAUGGCCAACCCCUCCCCAGUGACAGAAUUUAAAUGUCAGUCUCCAAAUAAGAUCUCACUGCAUCAUCAAGGAGUUUUGUCAGUUUGUUGUGAGAACACGGAUCCCUUUUGAGUCGUGCAGUCUCUGAAAUGCCUACCCUUUUCUUCAGAGUCCAUAUUAUUUCCUUUUCUCUUUAUAAAUGAUUAUUUUUUAUUUUUUCUCUAAUGUUUAAGUAGAUCCUGGUGCUAUUCAAAAGGUCAAUGAACCUUAAUGAAUUUUUUGAUGUGCUGAACCUGGCUUUAACGUUACAGAAGCAAAAUGAGAUUGGUAGUGUUUCAGUGAGAAAUUUUCACAUAUUGUAAGUGCAGUGUUAAAAGUGAGGAUGAGAAGUCAUGCAAAAGUAAGGUUCCCACAGCAAUGUUUUCUCUGCCUGCUUACAUUUAUCUCUUCAAAGAGUGUUCUUCAUUUUAACACUUAAGCAGCUGGGUGGGGGGAAGGGAAUAUGGUCUAUCUUAUAAUGCAGUAUAAUACGCAAAGAAGAGUUGCUGUGUUCUGCAAGUAUAUGUAUAUGUGUGACAUCUAGUAAUCCUUUUAACUUUGCAAAGAGUGUGACUGUACAACGAAGAUCACCAUUUUGUAAUGUUUGCUGGUAGCAGCAGAUGCAUAUCCCAGAAGCCCCGCUUUUCAAAAUCAGCACCUAAGGCUUGCCUGCAAAAUGUGUGCAAGUGGUUGGCUCCAUGCAAAUGGCUAAUUUCACAAGAAAAGUACAGAGCUUUCUAUACAGAGUAAGAGUUUAACCUGUGCUUGCUAAUAGCCCUCCAAAGAUACUGGAAUUACUGCAUAAACUGAUGACCGUAAAUUUCUCCGUGAUUGACAACCAUCUUGGCAAGCUAAUCCCAUCAGUUGGGUUAAAUGUUCUUCUAAUGCUCUUUGAGUUGAAAAAGAGAACUGCAAUUCCUUAAGUGCUGCCUGUCGUCAUCAUCAGGCUUUGCUUGUACUACAUACACAGCACACCAAAUGUUCCUGUAGAGCUCAGUGUAACUACAGCAAGAGCAUUUAUGGUGCUUGGAAAACUUCUGUCCCUCUCCACUUUGCAUAGCCUGGCAGCUUUGUUGCUGUUGAGGCUCAGUAAUCACACCUUUGGAGUUGGUUUUGUCCAUGUAUGUGCAGCGCUGGCCAUAUUUCUGUGUUGUGACUGGCUUGUGAAAACCCAUAAACUUGAAUAAAAUUUGAUUUUUUUUGAUUAAA